rnacentral:rRNA from 1 species
UACGUAGGGAGCAAGCGUUGUCCGGAUUUAUUGGGCGUAAAGAGCUCGUAGGCGGUUCGGCAAGUCGGAUGUGAAAUCUCCACGCUCAACGUGGAGGGGCCAUUCGAUACUGCCGUGACUCGAGUCCGGUAGGGGAGUGUGGAAUUCCCGGUGUAGCGGUGAAAUGCGCAGAGAUCGGGAGGAACACCCGUAGCGAAGGCGGCACUCUGGGCCGGUACUGACGCUGAGGAGCGAAAGCGUGGGGAGCGAACAGG